rnacentral:rRNA from 1 species
UACGAAGGGUGCAAGCGUUACUCGGAAUUACUGGGCGUAAAGCGUGCGCAGGCGGUUCGUUGUGUCGGCGGGGAAAGCCCCGGGCUUAACCUGGGAAUGGCCGUUGAAACUGGCGAACUGGAGUGUGGCAGAGGGGGGUGGAAUUCCGCGUGUAGCAGUGAAAUGCGUAGAGAUCGGGAGGAACACCCGUGGCGAAGGCGGCCAUCUGGACCAGCACUGACGCUGAGGCACGAAAGCGUGGGGAGCAAACAGG